rnacentral:lncRNA from 1 species
CCUAGGCCUGCGUUCGCGUCCGCAAACUCCCGCCUCCUUGCGCUCCCCCCGCCCGGGAGCUUCACGUGCGCCUUGGCGGCCGCGGGGGCAGGUCCGGGCUGGACGCCUGGCGGAGGACGCGGGCAGGUGGCUUGUGGGAGGCUGGGGCAUAGUUGAGCUGCAAGGCGCAAACCGAUGAGGGGCGUCUGCUUUUCACCAGGGCGCCGUCGCUUUUGUCGGGAAACCGGCAGCGUAGGCGCGCAGACCGGGAAGCGGCAAGAAGAUUUGGCCACGAGCUGGGGUCUUCCUGGAACGGAGAGAAAGCACGGAACCCGCACCGGGCUUCUCUGGCAUCGGCAGUCUACGUGCUCCUCGCGCUGGCACCGAGCAGCCACUCCCCGCUGGGUUUGGCAAAGGCUGCUCUUGUAGAAUUUUAAAGGAUUUAGAGUCUCAUUAUUCCUUGAAUCAUAACUUCUGCGGCCGUAGGGAAGUGGACAGGUUGAGGUGGUCUUUCUAUUCGUCAUUCACUCUUAUUUGCAGGUUCUGUUUCAUGUACUUGGACGUCUUUUAGCCUCUCACACCUUGAAAUUCUAGUGUGAAAAAGUGACCUCUGAAGUCUCACGCACUCAACUCGUUUGACGAACUCGUUUGACGUGUUCUCUCUUGCCCUUUGUUGUCUGUUGUCUUGAGUCUCAUAGAAUAGGUUUGAACCUUUCACUGUCGGUUUUGUAGGAGUCACUGAGGAUAUUGACGAGGCAAGUGACAGGGUCGACACUCUUGUAGAGAGGCUGUAUAGCAACCAGGUGUCUGAAGGAUUAGAGGCUGGGGAAAGAGUGGGAAAGCAGUUAGUAGGCUAGGGUAUUUGUGCGUGAGGUGAGGAGACUCAGAGCUAGGGGAGACAUUAGAGCAGGGGUUGGCAAACAUUUUUUGUAAAGGGCCCGAUCAUAUUUUAAGUCUCUGCCUUAACUACUCAGCUCUACCUUGUAACGAGAAAGCAGCCAUAGACAAUACUUGAAUGAGUGUAGCUGUCUUCAGUAAAACUAUGGACAUUGAAUUUUUAAUAUAAUUUCAGAGUUACAGGAAAAUGUGGCCAUCUUUAAUCACUACUCCAACGAUGUUUCAAAUUGAGUGGGCUUCCAUCAGCCAGGGUCUCGGAGACAGGACAAAGUGGAAAACAGCUCCCAAAUAACAUACCUAGGGCAUUUUGGGGACAGACUCUACAGUUUACUAGUGGCCCCAGGACAUCCUGCAAAAGAGGUGAAAUCAGUAUUGGAGAAGUGGUCUCAUGAAGAUGGGAGCACGACUACUACAAUUGACUGCUGACUUCUCACCCAAGGAAGUAACUGUAUCCCAGCCUAAUCUCAGUGGAUAAGCCCACAGGGUUAAGGAGUAAUCAUCAUGCUCCAUUUCGUUUUUGAGCCAUCUUCAGCCUUUGAGUCCUUAAGCUUUUUGGAGACAGUUUGUGGAGAAGGUCCUCACAACAUUGUGCAACAAGUGUGAAAGAUGUAGUCUCCAUUUACGGCUACUGAAAUAGGCUGAGAGAGGGUUUCCUAGACUUUCCAUCACCACCAGUGAAUUCUGAGUGACAAUAGUGUGGAAUUUGGAAGAAUGGAAGAGAAACUGAAGUGGAGAGAUGGUGAAAGAGAAGAAAAAAUGAAGAAAGAUGCUUGCAAAAAUACUGCUGUGGGUCCUGAGAUGAGGAUUCUGGGAGGGGACGGUCAGCGGGGAGCGGGAUCGUCUUAGACCAUGAGGGAGGAUGAGGUGCUGAGAGCUGGAAGAAUGAAGAGAAAAGUGGCCUGAUGAGGAGGUGGAGGUGUGAGAAGUGACAAAGAGUCUGUGAGGAGAAUGAGGAAGGGCAACCCGAGAAAUCAAGAAAAAUCAGGAGACAAAUCUCCUAGAAGCCAAGAAGAUGGUGGUAAACUAAUAAGUGAUGAGAGCAG